UUUAUAGGUUUCAUAACGAGUGAGAAUUAGAUAUCGAUUGAUAUCAACUCGAGUUAUUUAAUUUCAAUAAUAAUAAACGAGCCUAUGGCGAGUUUAUUAUUAUUGAAAUUAAAUAACGAGAGUUGAUAUCAAGCGAUAUCUAAUUCUCACAAGUUGUUAAACCUAUUUCUCUUAUGGCAAAAAGUUGUAUGUGCGUGGCCUAUUUGUUGCGAGUUGUGUUGCUACGGCCGUUUUUCUUUACAACGCGUACUGAUCUUUCUCUUAUGGUUGGGGCCUGCUAUCUAAUUUGUAACAAGUGUAUUGACACGUUAUUUCUACAAUAAUUAACAAAUAACUCACUUGUUGCACCUUAAAAUCUUCUUUUUAUCAAAUUGUAUUACAUUCUGAAGCGGCACAGAAUCCAGAAAAUGCCCGGUGUUUAUGUAUGACACCGGAAGCAUACCUAUGACGUCACGUAGUGUAGGGACCAAAGAAGAUAACAUCUUUUCGCGGAAUUUUUCUUAAUGAAGAUUUUACACUGAAAUUGUGAUUGAAAUUUAAUUAUGAACUUGUUUUGCAUUAGAAUAGAGAUAACUGUAUUGUAUUUGAAGCUUUGCA
rnacentral:lncRNA from 1 species